rnacentral:rRNA from 1 species
AAACGAUUGAAGCCAGUCGUACCGACGGGAAAUCAACUUUUUGAGCGCUUGUCGUGGGUGACGUGGAGCUUCACGGCUUUUGUUGCUUUGCGUUAUGGUGCUUUUUGGGUGUACUUUUCCGUAUGGUAGGUCAAUAUCGAUUUUGGUCGUCAUAAAAUGAUCGGAGGAAUGUGGCUUCGAUCUCGUAUCGAAGUGUUAUAGCCUUUGGUAGAUGUGACGAUUGGGAUUGAAGAUUGCAACGAAUACCCUUUUAGGCUAUCCGUCUGACCUCUGAAAGUCGCUCGGGUGUCGAAAAAGUGCUUUAUGACAUUCUCGUUGGCGGUUAAAAGGUUAGAACGUGAUUACAUUUGUUAAGGAUGUUGACGUAAUGGCUUUAAACGA